rnacentral:rRNA from 1 species
UGGGGAAUAUUGCACAAUGGGCGAAAGCCUGAUGCAGCGACGCCGCGUGAGGGAUGACGGCCUUCGGGUUGUAAACCUCUUUCAGUAGGGACGAAGCGCAAGUGACGGUACCUGCAGACGAAGCACCGGCUAACUACGUGCCCGCAGCCGCGGUAAUACGUAGGGUGCGAGCGUUGUCCGGAAUUACUGGGCGUAAAGAUCUCGUAGGCGGUUUGUCACGUCGUCUGUGAAAUCCUAGGGCUUAACCCUGGACGUGCAGGCGAUACGGGCUGACUUGAGUACUACAGGGGAGACUGGAAUUUCUGGUGUAGCGGUGGAAUGCACAGAUAUCAGGAAGAACACCGAUGGCGAAGGCAGGUCUCUGGGUAGUAACUGACGCUGAGGAGCGAAAGCAUGGGUAGCGAACAGG